rnacentral:tRNA from 1 species
GCCUGGGUGGCUCAGUCGGAAGAGCAUAGGACUCUUGAUCUUGGGGUCAUGAGUUUGAGCCCCGUGUUUGGCG